rfam:Myotis lucifugus cont2.18859, whole genome shotgun sequence.
GGUGGUUCUCGGGUGACGCUCCCUGGAAUCUGGCUCCCUUCUCUCUGGUUCCAGGGUGCAUCACUGGAGAACUGCU